GUGCUUUAGGGAUGAACAGGUCCCCAAAUUAAUCUUACUCCAUCCUUUUUCACUUUGUCAGCUGUCUUUGUUUAUGUGUGUUGCUGAUCAUUGUUGGAUGGAAUAGGU